CGGGCGCCACGGCGUCCUCUCUGUGGAAAACAACAGGCGGGCGGGCCCCUCCGCCGACCCCGCCGCCGUUGCCGUAGCCGAAGGCACCGCGGGCGCCGCCAGCCCCGGAGCCCCCGCAGCAGCAGCAGACGAGCCCCCAGAUGCCUACGGCCAGGCAGCCCAGCGCGAGCAGAGAGCCCAGGACGAUGCCGAUGAUCACGCCUAUACGCCGGGAGUCUGUGGAGAGAAGUGGAGGCAGGUCAGGCUUUCUCACAGCCUGCUCCAGGCCAAGAGAACAACAGCUCAUUCCUGAGAUAAGGAUCCUGCUGCCAUCUGCCAGAUCCUGAGGCUGCUCAAGGCAAGCCAGGGAUGAGCCAGAACUCGGCUGAGAGCAGAGGCUCCACCCUGGAGAAGCACCGCUGGAAGCACCCACACAGGAAGGACUCUCUCCAUGCCAUAGGAGCCUGCCAGGCAGGAUGGUUUUAUAAAGGUCUGGUCCAGGAGACUACUGGGGUUCCCCCUGUGACCCCAGAGAGAGAGAAGAAAGAGAUUGGGAGAGAUAGUGAUGAGUUAAGGGGCAAAGACAGAGACAGGGACAGAGGCAGACAGAAAGACACAUGGUCUAAAUGGCCCCUCCAGAGACUCAGAGGGAUACAGAGGAGGCAGAGGGCCCAGGCCACGAGCUGGGAACCAAUACAAAUUUCCAAAAGGGCCCCUUGCUUUUUCCUAAGAAAUCCAUGACUCUCCAGGGAAGAAUGGCCCUGCUUUGACUGGUAUUUGCUUCUAUUCUAAGACAGUAACAGAAAAUCAAAGACUGGCUUAGAAAGGAGUAAACAGGGAGAUACAGGAGGUAGGAAGAGGCUGGACAAAAACUCAGAGAAGGCCACAGAUUGCUUACCAGAUGAAGUGCAGCCCAGCCCCAGAACCUUUCUGGGAAGGACGGACAGAGGGCUUGGGCUGCCUACUCUUCCUCCAAAGCCUAUUCUUCCUCCAAAGUCCCUUUCAUGGCAACUCCACCCCACUCCUCUAAGCCCUGCCCUCCCCUGCCUGUACUUGCCCACCCCAACCCCUCUCAGUGGCCGCCAGACUCCCUGGGCUCAGGCUCAAUCAAGCUCCCCACAACCCCUGCCUUGGCUGGCACUGCAAUUUGACUCAUUCUAAACUCCUCCCCACACAGUCAGCAAGCUCCUCAGCCCCCUCUCCCAAGUCCCCAUGUAGCCCAGGGCUCACCCUGCAGCACCCAGGGAGGAGCUGUCCUGCAGAGGAAACCUCUGAGGUAAGACUCUGGGAGCAGAAGCUGUGAGUGACAAUGGAUAGGCAAAGAGUCACAGAGAAGCCAAGGAGCCUUGCAGCUGCUGUCUGUCCACCCAGCUUUCAGUGAUGAUUUGGAGGUGGAGGUCUGCCAGGACUAGAUGGCUCCAAGAAGGAACCCUUCCUCCCUUCCUCUGGCUCCAGGAGUGGCUGCAGGGCUCUAGCCACAUCUGGCCACUUGAUGCCACGGCUGACCAGACAUGCUCAGUAAGGGGCCGCAGUCCGACACAGCUCCCGGGGUGUGUGCUAGAUGUGCCUCUCCAGCUUGUGACACAGGAAAACUGCUGCAGAGUGAGAGUCUUCUAAAUGGAUUAAGAAGCCUAUCUCAAUCCCUCUGGAGAGUCCUCUUCAAUUCACAAUGAAGAUGUUGAAGAGCAGGGACAGACAUCAACACUCCUCUCCCCACCUUCCCCACUGGCAGAGGCAUUCAGGUCACUACUAGUGUCUCUCUUUCUCUUUUCCCCUUCUCUUAAUCUCUCACUGCCCUUCUCUCCAUGUCAUAUUCUCUUUUUCUCCUUCCCUCUCUUCCUUCUUACCUACUAAACUCCAUAUGUACCAAAAUCAGUCAAAGCUCUACUAUCUAGCUCUCUUUAUCUAGACUAAAGGAGUUGUCCACCUCUUGGUCUAGAUAACACUUGCAAAUAAAGACCUGCUCGUUUCCCAAAGCUAAGUAAUUGUUUUAGUUGAGCAACUGGGAAAGGAGGAUGGUUUUGUGUUGUACUCUGAUGCUAUUAUCCUUGGAUGGAGCGGGGAAGAUGUUGCUAUUGUCUGCAAGCUUAGCCCAUCAGCCCUGCAAUGUUUCCAUCAUGGAGCUCAACUGAGCAACUAUUGCACUCUCUGCAGCUGAGCCUCCCUUUUGACAUUAUAACAGAUUUUAAACACUGUGAAGACAUGAGAGAUUCUAGGGUGGAAGAAGCUAGGUGUCCCUGUUUACAUAGGCCCCACUAGAUCCCAAAGCUCUGCAGCUCAGGUCUCAGAAUUCCCCUUUGUCUUCAGUCUGAGAGUUACCUACGAGAGCAAGGUUACUCAGCAGAAGCUUUGCCCUGAGCUACAUUUUUGGGCCUCUGCCUGCAGGUGGCAUCAACUUGAAAGGACUUGUUGAGGAUUACCUUGAUAUCUCCAAAGAGGCUCUCAUCCACCUCAGAGCUCACGGCUUUGGUCCGAUAGCGAGCCUUAUUCCUUGACCUGUUGGAAGCGGCAGAAGAGGAGCUCAGGAUGCCAGCUGUGCUUAGUGGCUGCAGGAAGAGGCAGAAAGUUUGGGUCAUCAGUACUGAGUGGCAUCCAGACCCUGGGAAGUCAACAAUUCACCAGCCCAUGCUGGGGGAGUGGGUGGGCAUGUGAAAAAGAAACAGUUAGGGAAAGCGGCUGUGUAAACUCUGAACCAUAGGGGACAAGGAGCAACAGAUGGAGGGCAUCCCCACAGAGCAGGGAAGGGUCUCUGCAAAAAAAAGAGCUCUGCAUAAAGCAGCAUUUGUGUAAAACAGUUGAUCUCAUAGAAGUACAGAGUAGAAUGGUGGUUACCAGAGGCUGAAGAGAGGAAGGGGAGGGGCAUGGGGAGAGGUUGGUCAGUGAGUGCGCAGUUACAGUUAGAUAGGAGGAAUAAGUUCUGGUGCUCUAUUGCACAGAAAGGCCACUAUAGUUAAUAAUAAUGUACUGUAUAUCUCAAAAGAGAUACACAAUAUCUAGGAGAGGAUUUUGAGAAAUAUAAAUGUUAUAAGAUUAAAUGAGAUGGCAAGGUCUAGUAUUU
rnacentral:lncRNA from 10 species